GUUCUUCCUUAAAAUACAGGGGGCAUAAGUACGUACACCCCUAUGUUAAAUUCCCAUAGAGGCAGGCAGAUUUUUAUUUUUAAAGGCCAGUUAUUUCAUGGAUCCAGGAUACUAUGCAUCCUGAUAAAGUUCCCUUGGCCUUUGGAAUUAAAAUAUCCCCACAUCAUCACAUACCCUUCACCAUACCUAGAGAUUGGCAUGGGGUAUUUUCCAUAAAAUCAUCUUUCAAUGCAAAUCAGACCAGCUAUUUGGAUAACUGAAAUAAAACCAUGCCAAUCUCUAGGUAUGGUGAAGGGUAUGUGAUGAUGUGGGGCUAUUUUAAUUCUUUAGCAUGGGUGUCCUAAUUUUUUCACAUGGCUGUAUCUUAUUGUUAUUGAACAGAUUCAUUUUUUGGAAGGAAAUAAAAGUCAGUGUACUGUAUAUUGCAUUUCCCCAACAAGAGAUAACACGUUUUCUCUUCAUAAGAAUUCCAGGGAUGUACCAAUUGUAGGUAACAGCAAUCUUCUUUCGACUGUGACAGUGACAGUAGAGGAUUGAAUAGUGAUUGUAAAAACAAUGUUAGGCAAACAGAUUGUCCUGUUUGCUUGUCGGUAUUCCGUAAUGAAGCUUAGGUGAAGCAUCGUAUCAGUCUUAUCUGUUCUACACCAACAGGAAACCAAACAAGCACAGUUGUCUCACAGAUGGAUUUCCUUUAGGUUGCUUGACAACACACGUGGCUGAGCUUUGGCUGCCUUAACAGGUGUAAUAUAAGAGCCUUUGCUGUCUUCUCCAAAGACACACCACAUGUGAUACAGCUCCACACUUGAUCAGUCUCACUGGCAGCAUAGAUACUUGGCACACAGUACCUGCAGGAAACUGCGAGCUGGGGAAGGUGAAAGGUCAACAGGAAAGGAGGGGGGUAUUGUAACACAAUGGGCUGGCGGAACUCACUAGCACAGCUGGUAGUUAGUGUUGCAGUGUUCUCUCUCUGUCUCUCUCUUUGUCUCUCUGUGGGGCAAUUGUCCCAUCUCAUGGCAGGGAUUACUUUGUGCUGAGUCAGGAGUAUUGCAGUCUCACUCAGGCUUCUACUGUAAUAGCCUCAGCUGACUGAUAAGCAGAGGAAGUGUACCUCUAGUGAAGCGUUUUAGGAAAAACAGGAAUAUGUAGCGCUUCCUUUUUUAGGGUUUCAAAGAAAACAAAGAGAGGUCAUCUGUGUAGAAAUUGCUUAUAUUUUGUCUCUACCAAAAAAGAAUGUACUGUACGAUAACAAGGUUUCUCAAAAGGUCAAAUUAUUCCUUAAAAAUUCACCUAAUUUGCUCCUCUAGAGUUGCAAAAUGGGGUGAGCCAUUAGUUGUGGAAAGUAAAGUUUUCCUUCAAUGAUAUUCUCAGUGUUUCUCAUCAUAGAAACACUAAUAUCUCCUGGAUAAUUUAAUAAUACUAAAUUUACUAAAUUAUUAUGUUUCUGAAAAAAGUAUGGUGCUGGCUCUGAAUACUACAAUACCUGUGAGCUUCAGACACCCAUUCUAUGCAGAAGUUUGUCAGAGGUGCAAAUCAGAGCUGGAUCCCAAUUGGCGCCAUAGUUGCCGAAUUCAUGUAAAAUUCACCCCGAUUGUAAGCCCACCUAAAUUGCUAAUCAUUUUCUACAAAAUGUCAUCUUUUGCUUCAGCUUUUCGUUCCAAGACAAAGCAUGAUUGUAAGUGAUUGAAUGUUUUUAACUAUAGUGCGCCUUAGAAGUUGUAGUUGACUUUUUUCCUCGUGUUUUUAUGUACACAGGCUUGUAUGUUUUGAGUUUUCAU